GGUAUCAGUCUUUUUAUAGUGUCCCAUGAUACCAUCGAUAAAUAUGAGCCUGAAUCCACUUCCAUCUGGCAAGGCUUCCUUCAACUAGUACCUUGUCAUG